rnacentral:tRNA from 1 species
GCCGGUUUGGCUCAGUGGAUAGAGCAUCGGCCUGUGGACCAGAGGGUCCGGGUUCGAUUCCCGUCAAGGGCA